CCUGCGUGGACUGGCCUCGCGCGCGAGACUCGGUCCAGCGCGCGAGCGGGACCAAAUCGCGCGGCGACCAUGAGUGAAUCGCGCCCGCGUUCACCUGCGCCGACUACUCGUCGAUGAUGAGAGAGCAGCAACGUGCGUGCCAAGGAGUAACGCGAUCCCCCGUCUCGCGUCGCCGCCGCGCGGCGGCCACCGACGGUGAACACCACGAGUGAUUCGUUCGACUCGACCGAUCCGAGUGAAGUGUCGCGAUAUACGAGAGCGAGAGAGAAAGCAAGAAGAGAGAGAGAGAGAGAGAGAGAGAGAUCGACGAGUGUUUCAGAGCUAUCAGGAAGAGGAGCGGAGAAGGACAGAGCACUCUCUCCCGUGCGCUCGCCGCGCAUACAGCCAGGCGGACGAGCGGAGGUCCAAAGUGUCCGCGAGGGAGAUUAGUAGUAUAAACAGCGCGAGUGUACCGCGCGGACAGUAGUGAAGGACAAUCGCGCGAGCGGACAAGUAGUGACAGACCGUAAGACGGUAAGGGCGAGAGUAGCAGUGGAGAGAGAGAGAGAGAGAGAGAGAGAGAGAGCCGGACACACGACGCGCGCCGCAGUAGUUGCGGACGUCGCGCGCGCGGACUUGCCGCGUAGCGGAGCGCAUUGUGCCCGGAGCGUGACCGGAUCAAGAAGACCCGCCGACGCCGACGGCGAGGGCUCUCGUUCGACAAGGGAGCUCGGUGGAUCAGCUGGUAGCGCGCGAUCCAGCGAGAUAACACACGCCGACGCGCUUCAUCCUACAGCUACGUGUGGCAUGUGUAGCCGCGACAACGGCGACGAACAUGCGAGCACGCUUAACCCACGCACGUACGCGUAAUCGUCGCGGCUCGCCACCGAGGAGGAUUCAAUUAAAUCUCCCGCGAGGAAGGUCAAGUACUCCGCGCAGCACCAGCAUCAGCGACGCGGGGGGGCCCGAGCUUUAAUUAAAACGCCCGCGGGAUUCCCAUUAUCGCGCGCGCUCGCGCGCCUCGUAUUCGGGAUUAAUUAGCCGCGUCGGAAACGAGAGCGCCGGCCAGGUCGUUGACGGAGGCGAAAAGGGUGAUAUAGGAGGACGUGAUUGCCGGUGGCGUGGCAAGCCUCGUGUGUCGUGCUCGUAAUAACGCGUCGGGCGUGCGCGCGAGACAAAGAGAGAGAGAGAGAGAGAGAGAGAGAGAGAGAGUUUUGUACGAGCAGUGUCGCGAGCUCCUCGAGCCCCCGACGGAGCCCUCCUCUUCGUCGUCAUGGAUCAUCUGUUUGUUAUUCUCGUUCUUUGGUCGCGCUGGCUCGCGUAGCCGCGCGCGCAACGACUGCGACGGUUAAUUUGCGGCCGUCACGAAUGCUUCUUCCUCGCGAGUGACAGUUUGUGCAGUUGCGUGAGGAAAUAAGUCGUCGUUUCGAGGCAAGAGAGAGAGAGAGAGAGAGAGAGACAGGCAAGUUAAGAAGGGUCUUAUAAACGUCUUACGGUCGACGUGCCGCCGAUGACAAUGUCGAAGUAGGACUCUCUCGGCGAACCGCGACAGCUCGUUCUAACGCACGGAAGACACGUAUUAUUAUGUGAGGAGGAGGCCGCGACGAGGGAAACGAAGAUGUCCGCCGUCAGCGUCGUCGCAUGGUUGCUCGGCGCCGUCGCUUUGGCAGCGAUCAACAAUGGUGAGUAGCCAGAAUUAGCGAAUACGUGUGUAUUUCCACGCAGACUCGCGCGCCCGUCCUUCGGACGAUCGGCGCGCGAUCAUGGCGAAUAUUCGCGCCCACGCACUGCGUCAGACAGGCUCGCGGUACGUAUUUGCGAUAGUUAUUAACCGUCCCUCGCAUAGCCGUGGUAGUUCUAAUUGGCAUAAUUACCGUCUGCCACACGGAGUGUGUCAAAUGGCUGGCAACGUGGCUGCCAGCAGGUGUCAAUAAUGGCGACGCGCCGGCCGCGUUUGCAGAUCGCGCGUUAUUGAGUCACCGCGUCGUAAGUAAGGCAAACAACGCGAGCCGAGCUCGCGAUUUGCGCGGUUAAUCAGGUCAGCGGGAUCCUCCUUUGUUGCGAAAACCUCGCGGGCAGGGCCGGGCGAGCAAAGCGCGCAAUGUGAUACGGAAACGAUAUAUCGACAGUUACCGAAGCCGUUUCGAACAAAUGUUAUCGAGCAAAUGUAGCUUUUAUUCACACACACACACACACACACACACACAUACAUAUACACUUACAGUGAAACACAUUACGUAAGUUGAUACCUCCUGAAAUGAUUCCACCGCAAACGGGUGAAACGAUCAACUUUUCGCGACUCAGCGACGAAUUGCCGCGCGACCUUCCACGCCGCGCCUGCCUGAAAUAUCCGCUGUAUUAAUCAAGAGAGGGAAGCCGACCUCGCGCGACGCGGCCGAGUCGUCGAUGUAUCCGCGGGAUCGUACUCGAAGUGUACUCUCACGUGAGAGAGAGAGAGAGA